GGGGUUGUGGCUCAGCGGUAGAGCACUUGCCUGGCGCAUGCAAGGCCCUGGGUUCGAUCCUCAGCACCA
rnacentral:tRNA from 1 species